GUGCUUUGUUUUGUAUUAACUGAACAUUUUCUGUUGUAGCAUUUUAAGUCAUUUAAUGAUACUUUUCCUACAUUUUUGGAGGGUGUUUUUAGUGAUUUUUCUGGGGUUUACCAUAUACAUCAUAACUUAUCAGAAUUUACUUCAAAUUCAUACUAAAACUUUUAAUUUCUGUGAGAUAUAGAAAUGUUAUUCCUAUAUGUAUUUUACACUUUACAUUUUUCUGCUAUUACUGUUACACAAAAUAAAACUAUAUAUGUUACAAACCCAAUAAUACAUGUUUUAAAUUUACUGAUUUAAAUAAUUUUGUCAUUUGAAGCUGAGGGAAUAAAUGAGAGCAAGUAUAUAGUUAUAUAAUUUGUAUGUUAACCUUCUUAUUUACCAUUGCUGGUUUUCUUCAGUGUUUUUGUAGAUUCAAGUUAUCAUUUGAUAUCAUUUCCUUACUCCAAUACAGUUUUGCACCCACCUACAUCCUUUGUGCUAUUAUUUUCAAGUAUGUUAUAUUUCUGUAUGUUAUAGGCACAAUUGUACAGUUAUAAACAUAUUAUUUUAUACAAUUGCUUUUAAAAUCAGCUAACAAGAAAGGAGAAUAAAUGUAUAUUUAUACUGUCUGCUAUAAUUACAUAGUUAUCUUUGCCAGUGCUCUUUUUUUUUGGUGUAGAUGUGAUUACCAUCUGGGGUCACUUGCUUUCAGCCUAAAAAGCUUCUUUCACCUUUUGUAGAGUGGGUAUGUAGCAAUGAAUUAUCUGUUUUUGUUUAUCUGAGAAUGUCCUUAUUUUGCCUUCGUUUUUGAAAAGUGGUUUUGUUGGAUAUACGAUUCUUUGUUUACAGUUUUGUUUUUUAGCACAUUGAAUAUGUCAUUCCACUGUCUGCUGGCUUCUUUAGCUUCUGACAAAAAGUCAGCUGUUAAUCAUAUUGAAGUUCCUUUGUACACGAGUAAAAAAAAAAAUUGUUGCUGCUUUCAAAUUUUUCUCUUUGUCUUUGUUUUCUAUAUUUUUAGUAGAGUGCACCUGGAUCUCUGUGUAUAUCUUCCUUGAAGAUUGUUGAAUUUCUUGGAUGUACUGAUUAAUUUUUUAAUCAAAUUUAGGAAGUUUUUAGCCAUUAAUCCUUCAAAUAAUUUUCUGUUCCUUUCUCUUUUCUUUUUCUGGUGCUUCUACUGCACAUAUGGUGGUGUGCUUAAUGGUGUCACACAUUUCUCUGAGGCUUUGUUCAUUUUUUUUUUUUGGUUCAUUUUCUUCCCUAGUAAACUAGCUGUCCUACAGUCUAGCUUGUUGCUCUCAUGGAGCUACCAGCCUCCUCUUAAUUACUUACCACCAAAAUGUUCAUUGUUUUAAGAGUACUUUUAGGCUCAAACUUCCUCAUACUCUGUUCCAAAUUCCUCUCAGUCAGAGCUCUCCAUUUUAAUGGCCUGUCUCGCCCCAUGGCCAAAAUCUCCAAGCCACUGCUCCAGAGUUUGGUGUGGGCAUAAUGGCCCAGUUCUCUUAGAAUGACACCCUUAGUUGUAAUUCUAGCCUGGUUGUCAUGGUAGACUCUGGUCUCUCAGUUCACUUCUCCCAGCAUGAAAUCUCUGUCCUAUGAGUAAACUGGGGUGAGGGAACUUCGGGUCCCAGUGUUACUGCCCUGUCACACCAGCAGUAGAGUCUCCAUCUUAUGAGUCAGAGCUGAGUGGAAGAUGAGAGCCCCAGACUGCUCAGUUGCAUUUGCCUGGAAUUUAGUCUCCACAGCCUGGAGCUGGCAGGGAUUAGUUGUGCUGGCAUCCUGACCUCCCAGGGAAAUAUUAUAUACCUUGACUGGAAGCUGGGGAAGAGGGAACCCUGUCUCCUUGGCACUUCCAUCCAGAAUGAAGCUUCCUUCACAUUUAGCUGGCAAAGAGAGAGGGAGCAAGCAGAUCAUGGCUCAAGAAUACACGGUAAAUGCAACACACGGUAAGAUGGCAAUUAAGCUCCCUGCGUUAGGGAGUAUCACUCACGGUGAUAAUUGGGAAACAUGACAGAGAAUGGGACGCGCCAUCUCAGAAGAGACGAAGAGGCUUUUCAAUUACUCUGGAACUUUAUUUAUUAUUUUUGAAGGGUAAUGCAUUGCCGCUCUUAACUGUCUGAAAUUAAAGUGGACGUUGAAAACAUA